rnacentral:rRNA from 1 species
GGAUUAGGCAUGCAAGUCGUACCCUCCGCAAGGGGCGUGGCGCAAGGGUGAUUAAGGCGACGGCAACCAACCCGGGAGCCGGACAUAGCCGUGGGAAACCGCGGGUAAUAUCCGGCGCCGUCGCUGGGGGGCAUCCCCCGGCGACAAAAGGUGCGAUUCCGCUCCUGGACGGCCGUCGUGGUAUUAGGUAUUUGGCGGGGUAACGGCCCACCAAGCCUGCGAUGCCUACCGGGCGUGCGAGCGUGGCCCGGCACACUGGGACUGAAACACUGCCCAGACACCUACGGGUGGCUGCAGUCGAAAAUCUUCGGCAAUGGGCGAAAGCCUGACCGAGCGACCCCGCGUGGAGGAUAAAGGCCCUCGGGUUGUAAACUCCUGUCGAGGGGGA